ensembl:lncRNA
GCCUCAGGCUGCCUGGGAGACAUGCCCAUGGCUGUGAGGGUCUCCUGACAAGCCCUGUGGUAUUGGAGGGGCAGCUUCAGAGUUCCCGAUCAGCACUGUGGCCCAGAGUCCCAGGACUGACCCCAAGAGGUGGUGGUGGCAGGGAGUCUGGCCACUCUAACAUUGCUUAUUGUACCAGAAAAGAUAAAAGAAAAAGAAGAAAGGAUACAGCUGAGAAUUUUCUGGUUGAUCGCAUCCACCAUGUGUCUGCUCAGCCUCUCUGUGCCCUCAAUGUCUCCCACAAACACGGAGUGACUGCUCGAUUCUCCAGGCCCUGGCUGUGACGCCACAUGCCCAAGCUGACCACAAGCCAGGGGGCUGCAAGACCCUGUAGAAUAUUCUUCCUCUCGCAUUCUCUACUUGUCCUGGAGUCCGGUGCCAGGCUAGUGACGAAGAGAGACAAAGAGAGACGCUCUAUCGACCAGAACAUGAGAGGAGUUGCCCCUCAGACACAGAAAGGCUGAGGCUCAGAGCAGAACAUUCUUCUCAGCCACCAGGGGCGUGCAGUCCCUGCUAUCGUAG